GCCUGAGUAGCUCAUCCGGUAGAGCGGCCGUCUUGUAAACGGUAGGUGCUCGGUUCGAGUCCGAGUUCAGGCU
rnacentral:tRNA from 1 species